GACGAACGCUGGCGGCGUGCUUAACACAUGCAAGUCGAACGGUGCCCCAGGGCUUGCCCUGGUGAUCAGUGGCGAACGGGUGAGUAACACGUGGGCAACCUCCCCCUGACUUCGGGAUAACUCCUCGAAAGAGGAGCUAAUACCGGAUACGACCACUUCGGACAUCCGAUGGUGGUGGAAAGUUUUUCGGUCAGGGAUGGGCCCGCGGCCUAUCAGCUAGUUGGUGGGGUAAUGGCCUACCAAGGCGACGACGGGUAGCCGGCCUGAGAGGGCGACCGGCCACACUGGGACUGAGACACGGCCCAGACUCCUACGGGAGGCAGCAGUGGGGAAUAUUGCGCAAUGGGCGAAAGCCUGACGCAGCGACGCCGCGUGAGGGAUGAAGGCC
rnacentral:rRNA from 1 species